rnacentral:lncRNA from 1 species
AGCGGCCUGCCUGUUCCCGGCUACAGAUUAUGAUGUCUGUGCAGCUGCCUUUCAUUCACAGCUUCCCUGAAUGGUGCCAAAGUUAAUUCCUCCAGGAAUAGCCCCACCAGUCACAAUGAAGGGGGGUAAUGCCCAGGAUGCCCCCAUCAUUCUCACUCCUGGCACGGGCUUGCUGCCAUCAACAGCCAAAGGGAGAAGUCAGGCAGCAGAAAAGCUUGGGAGACCCUGGAAACCCCCUAAGCUUCUCCACAACAGUGCCAGUCUCAUCUGUUGCAGCCAAGGCGAGAGUCCCACAUCAUCCACCUCAGGUGGGAACCCUGCAAGCCUGUAUUCCACUGUGGGAAGACCAGUAUGCUGUGCAUUGGCUCCAGGGAGCACCACGCA